rnacentral:tRNA from 1 species
AGUCCCGUGGUGAAUUUCACAUUGAAUUGCAAAUUCAAAGGA